rnacentral:rRNA from 1 species
CCUACGGGAGGCAGCAGUGGGGAAUCUUCCGCAAUGGGCGAAAGCCUGACGGAGCAACGCCGCGUGGAGGAAGAAGGUCUUCGGAUUGUAAACUCCUUUCAGCGGAGACGAAGCCUGUAUGGGUGACGGUAUCCGCAGAAGAAGCCCCGGCCAACUACGUGCCAGCAGCCGCGGUAAGACGUAGGGGGCAAGCGUUACUCGGAAUUACUGGGCGUAAAGGGUGUGUAGGCGGCCGAGCAAGUCGAAGAUGAAAUCCCAGGGCUCAACCCUGGAAUUGUCUUCGAUACUGCUUGGCUUGAGGGUAGUGGAGGAGAGCGAAAUUCCCGGUGGAGCGGUGAAAUGCGUAGAUAUCGGGAGGAACACCAGAUGCGAAGGCGGCUCUCUAUGCUACUCCUGACGCUUAGGCACGAAAGAUAGGGGAGCAAACGGGAUUAGAUCCCUUGGUAGU